ACAGCUUUGGACAAAAGUCUAUAGCCAGUGCAUUCGUAACUCCCCAUGCACAAGAGCUGACUGUGGCUCUGGGAAGGCAUUUUACUCAUUUGAUUUCUUUUUUUCUUGUAGUCUUCUUGUCCAGUUCUCAGGUGUUUACCCACCUAUUAGAAUUUCACCUGUAUGGGUCUUGUGUUUGAGAAAGUCCCAGGACUUGUCAGCUGUAUAGGCCUCAUAAAAGACAGCUCU
rfam:Calypte anna contig29193, whole genome shotgun sequence.